rnacentral:rRNA from 1 species
CCUACGGGAGGCAGCAGUGGGGAAUUUUGCGCAAUGGGCGAAAGCCUGACGCAGUAACGCCGCGUGGAGGAUGAAGGCCUUCGGGUUGUAAACUCCUGUCAGGGGGAACGAUGGAACAUUGGCGAAUAGCUUGUGUUCCAAGACGGUACCUCCAAAGGAAGCCCCGGCUAAUUCCGUGCCAGCAGCCGCGGUAAUACGGAAGGGGCAAGCGUUGUUCGGAAUUAUUGGGCGUAAAGGGCGCGUAGGCGGUCUCGUAUGUCCGCUGUGAAAGCACACGGCUCAACCGUGUUGGGUCGGUGGAAACUGCGAGACUUGAGGCUGGAAGGGGCUGGUGGAAUUCCCCAUGUAGCGGUGAAAUGCGUAGAGAUGGGGGAGAACACUCGUGGCGAAGGCGGCCAGCUGGACCAGUUCUGACGCUGAGGCGCGAAAGCGUGGGGAGC